rnacentral:lncRNA from 1 species
GCGCGGGUCUCCAGAGCCUGAGCUAGUCAGAAGCAACAGUUGCUACUGCGUCCCCCGGACAUUGGGAGAAUCGUUUUCCUUGGGCAGCUGGUUCCAGACCCCCACCAGUCCUCUAGACUCCAGGCCAAUCAGUUGCUAAGGGACGUUCCUCUCUCAACCUGCACUUAUCAACAUUUUAAGCUAUAAAUUCGUCUGCAUUUCUUCAUCGUCUGUCUAUGUAGACCAUGACUCCACGGAGGCAGGGACAUAAAGAAAGCAGAAAUCCGAGUAGGGGACAGGUGAGAUGAAAAGAGAAGAUUCAGGAGUGGAGAGAGAUGAUGUUGGAG